GUGGGGAAUAUUGGACAAUGGGCGCAAGCCUGAUCCAGCCAUGCCGCGUGAGUGAUGAAGGCCCUAGGGUUGUAAAGCUCUUUCACCGGAGAAGAUAAUGACGGUAUCCGGAGAAGAAGCCCCGGCUAACUUCGUGCCAGCAGCCGCGGUAAUACGAAAGGGGCUAGCGUUGUUCGGAAUUACUGGGCGUAAAGCGCACGUAGGCGGACAUUUAAGUCAGGGGUGAAAUCCCGGGGCUCAACCCCGGAACUGCCUUUGAUACUGGGUGUCUGGAGUAUGGAAGAGGUAAGUGGAAUUCCGAGUGUAGAGGUGAAAUUCGUAGAUAUUCGGAGGAACACCAGUGGCGAAGGCGGCUUACUGGUCCAUUACUGACGCUGAGGUGCGAAAGCGUGGGGAGCAAACAGGAUUAGAAACCCCGGUAGUCC
rnacentral:rRNA from 1 species